CCUACGGGAGGCAGCAGUAGGGAAUAUUGGUCAAUGGACGAGAGUCUGAACCAGCCAUGCCGCGUGCAGGAAGACUGCCCUCUGGGUUGUAAACUGCUUUUAUAUGGGAAGAAAAGGGCCUUGCGAGGCACAUUGACGGUACCAUAGGAAUAAGCCACGGCUAACUACGUGCCAGCAGCCGCGGUAAUACGUAGGUGGCGAGCGUUAUCCGGAUUUAUUGGGUUUAAAGGGUGCGUAGGCGGCUUUUUAAGUUGGUGGUUAAAGGUAGCAGCUCAACUGUUUUACAUGCCAUCAAAACUGAAGAGCUUGAGUUAUCAGGAGGCAGGCGGAAUUUCUGGUGUAGCGGUGAAAUGCAUAGAUACCAGAAGGAACACCUAUUGCGAAGGCAGCUUGCUGUAGAUACACUGACGCUGAUGCACGAAAGCGUGGGGAGCGAACAGGAUUAGAUACCCUGGUAGUCCACGCCGUAAACGAUGAUUACUAGUUGUUGGAGAUAUACAUUCAGUGACCAAGGGAAACCGAUAAGUAAUCCACCUGGGGAGUACGCCGGCAACGGUGAAACUCAAAGGAAUUGACGG
rnacentral:rRNA from 1 species